UUAAGGAUUCAAAUAUCACCUGGUACACAGAAAAUCCAGACUUCACCAAGUGCUUCCAAAAUACAGUCCUGGUAUGGAUCCCAUGCAUCUACCUCUGGUUCUGCUUACCAAUCUACGCAGUAUACCUCCAGCACAACGACAAAGGUUACAUAAGAAUGUCACAUCUCAGCAAGGCCAAAACUGUAAGUUGGAUUUUUGGAUUCUGUAAGCCGUGUGCGGAGGGAAAAGCUUAAUGGUGCUUGUCAAUGCAACUGUACCUCUUCUUCCUGUAAAUCCAGGAGAACUAUAAAAUGAUUAACUCCCCAAGGGACGGAGGCUAUUGACCCUAAAACCCUACUCUUGUAGGACUGCAUAGCAUGCCCUAAGGUCGUUAAGGGGUUAAUAUAAACAAACCACAAACUGAGAAAACCAUGGAAAUUUCAAAGGGUUUAUAAGAAAUUGGCUCACGUUAAAGCCUUAAACUACAGCAAAUGAAGGUGAUGAUAUUGAUGAUCAGUUAUUUUAGAAAUUUCACUUUAUUGAUUUUUAUUUUUUUUUCUUUGGGGGGAGGGGGAGAGGAGUGUGUGAAGGAGAAAGGCAAAAUAGUAAUACUAAGUACCUCUGGAAAAAAAAACAAAAAAUAAAUGGUCAAACUUUAACCAUUAAAAACAGAGAAAGCCAUCUCUGUGAGCUGAAAGUGUUAACCUUUUUAUAUCUACGCUUUAAAUAAAACAUUUAUAUUGUAUGAUAUUUGGAUAUCAUGGCACUUUUUUUUAUUUUUUUUUUAUUUUAUAUAAGCUGUUCAAAUUAUUCCAUACUUUUAGAAAAACUUUCCCAAUGAUUUCUCUAUGGUGAUUUCUCACCUUUAAAGUCUAGGAAUCUCUGUAGUUGAAUAAUUUGGAAAAUGUUUCUAACUGUAUUGAAUCAUUUGGAAAACGUGUUCAAUCAGGCCUAGGCUUCAGACAAAAGACCUACAGAUUUUGCAAGCAGUUUUUAGAUAUUACCCAAAUGAAAGAGGAAAACAUGUCAGGACUUUCUUUUUCAGACGAUGACCCUUUUUAAAAAAAAAAAAAUAUUUUUUUUUUUUCCCUAUUCAACUAAAACUUUGACAAUUACAUUUGUGACCAAUGUUUUGGCCUCUCCACGGUUUCCUACCCCUGCUGUAGUGUAUGUUUUUUUUUUAUUUUUUUUUUUUAGGUGGUUGGGGAUUGGAGGAGGUAAUUGGGCUGUGCUGUUUGUCUGGUUGGGGUAGUUUGGAAUGGUGUGUGUUGAGGAUAAAGUGUUGUUCUGUAUGUUAGGCGUAGAGGUAUACAAAAAUAUGUUAAAAUAAAACGUCACCCACAUCCUGGCAGUACCAGAACACUAUAUGGUUUGCUGAGGGAGCUGACCAUAAAGGCUAAUGGUGUGCUAGUGCCCUCACUGUUCCAUGCUUGGGCAGAAGAUCAUAGUAAAUACUGCAAUCUCAGGUGGUCUUCACUCUCGGAGGUGCCCACAGCAUGAGCAUAGACUGGUUGGUGAGGGAGAAAGUUUACCUUCCCACUGGCCAUGCAGACCCCUCUUCUGUCUGCUGUCCAGAGGUCAUGACUUUGGUGGUCUUGUGGGAAAUCAGGCCUUGGCAAUGUGCUGUAGCUAAUCUGUCUAUGAUAGAUGUGGCAUUAUUAGAGUUCACUACACUCUUAUCUGAUCUGGCAAGGAGCGUAUAUGCAUUCUAGUAGGAAACAAAAUCUACUGUUUCUGUCUGUAAGUAGGUAAAUGGUAAACCGUGUUUUGGGCUCGUGUUAUAAAAAUAAAUGCCACACAGGUGAUUGUAUGAAUUUUUUUUCACAGUAUACAAUUUGAAAGUAAUCUCAGCUUGAGGUGUAUGACAUGGCCUUAAAUUUGCUUCAUUAGACUUACAAAGAACACCAGAUGUGUGCAAAAGCCUACAAAGCCUAUCGCUUCACACAUACAGGGUAAUUCACCAAGUUCUGAAUGGGACAAAACCAUCCGGCUGCAUACGGGGCCAUUCGGAAUGCAAAACCCAGACAUCGUUGAUGAAAUUCAUCAGUGUUUGGCUUUUGGCCCCGAAAGGGCCUGAAUUUGGUCCGGAUUCUUCGCCCCCCACCCCCCCCAAAAAAAAAUUAAAAUCCAUAAUCAGACACAAAUAAUUAUAAAUAAAAAAGCUGAAAAAAAAUAGAAAAUUUGCUGCAACAAAAACAAUAAUCCCCAUUCACCAAUGGAGUUCUUGCCGCAGAGACUUCUCUUGAGACUUGGGUGGCAGAGCGCUGUGAUUAGUUGGCUUACUAGCCAGCCAAUGAGAGCGCUCAUUAUCAUAUAGGUAAAAUGUUCCUUGGUUUUAGGUUAAUUGGUUUGUUUGUUUUCCUUUUUUUUUAUUAAUUUUUUUUUUUUUUCUUUGUGGUGGCUGGCUGGCUUCUAGCACUGAGAGGGCAAAUAAUUUUCAAAUUAUCUUUCACAAAAGUAAAUAAUAAUUAGCAAAUUGUGCAUCUUGCCAAAUGCAAAUGUCUUAUCUUGGGCCAAUAUGCAGUCAUUGAUAAAUAUCUGAUUCCUGUGCUUUAAAUUGAUUCAGAUGCGGAUGUUGGCGAUUGAAAAAAAAUUAUAAUUAUUUAUUUUAUAUUUUUUCCGCCAAAAACUAAUUCGCGAAUUGCCAAUGUGGUCAGAUUUCAGUCGUUUUCAACAGAUUUUGCGGAUUUGGACAAAAUCCAGCAUUUAGUGAAUAACCAUGAUAGUCUUUCACAAAUGCACAGUUCACAGCUCCGCACUCAUUGCUGGGAUAAGAGAGGGCACAGACUCUCUUAGACACAUAAUCGGGAAGUAAAACCGAAAUAUAGUUUGCGCCAAAAAACUUCAAACUAAAAAGAUCUCCAAAACACAGUAAAAUAUAGUUAACGUCUGGUUCUCUGUUGGCAGAGGUGAAGUUACAUCCUGACAAAAAUAGUCCAUUAUCUCAACUCGGUCUUUGCAAAGUUCAUCUUAAGUCCUAGCACUAUAACUACAAUACGCUUAAAUGGUUAUGCCAGUUCAGUUUAUUAGUAAGUCCAUAAUUGGCAAUGCUCUAGAACAGCAGGUCAUUGCAAAAGGAGCCCAUGGAAAAGUGGUUGGAAAUCUGAAAACCGAAUGGUGUCUGCAGUUGUUUUUAUUUAUUUUUGUAUAGCACUAUUGGGAGCCUUUAAGAGCUCCUGUGUCUAGCAAAGAUGAAUGGAUGGUCAAACGCAAGAGUUUAAAAAUUACAUGCAAAAGGGAACCGAAAAGUUCAAGUUGCACAUUUUAUGUAUUACAGAUAUUAUUACUAUUUUUACUACUGUUUCUUGGUUUUUAGUCAUGGUAUUAUGUUCUGUACUUACUACUGAUUUAUUUUAUUGUUUAAUUUAAAAAAAAAAAUGAAGAUUCUUUGGCACCCAAGGCCAAACCCACCACUUAGGACUUCCUGUGAAGCGGUUUUGUUAUUCUUUUGGCCUUGACAAAUAACUAGUAACUUUUAGCACUGCCAAAAAAUGUGUACAGGCUGUUCCUUAGCCAUACAAAUAUUCUGGACUCCUGAAAAAUAGUGUGAGUUUCCUCAUAUAAAACUCCCAGGUUGGGUUUUGGGUGCAAUGAAUCCUCCAUAUGAUUAUUUUUAAUUUUUAAUUUUUCUUUUCCAAUCUACAGGAGGGCUUGCACCAUCACGACUGCAUAAAGCGGUCAUCCAGUUAUUGGGAACUUGCAUGAUCUGUAUAAACUAUAAACCGCAACAACGUUGUAGCAGAUCUUGCCUGACCCUCAAAAUAAUUUGUGUUCUUUUUAUGUAGGCUAUAGGUUUCUUCUUAUGGCUUAUCUGCUGGGCAGAUCUCUUCUACUCUUUCUGGGAAAGGAGUCAAAGUACUUAUCGAGCUCCAGUUUUUGUUGUGAGCCCCACAGUGCUAGGCAUAACUAUG